rnacentral:rRNA from 1 species
GACGAACGCUGGCGGCGUGCUUAACACAUGCAAGUCGAACGCUGAAGACCUGGCUUUUGUUGGGUUGGAUGAGUGGCGAACGGGUGAGUAACACGUGAGUAACCUGCCCUCUUCUUUGGGAUAACGCCCGGAAACGGGUGCUAAUACUGGAUAUUCACUGAUCUUCGCAUGGGGGUUGGUGGAAAGGUUUGUUCUGGUGGGGGAUGGGCUCGCGGCCUAUCAGCUUGUUGGUGGGGUGAUGGCCUACCAAGGCUUUGACGGGUAGCCGGCCUGAGAGGGUGACCGGUCACAUUGGGACUGGGAUACGGCCCAGACUCCUACGGGAGGCAGCAGUGGGGAAUAUUGCACAAUGGGCGAAAGCCUGAUGCAGCGACGCCGCGUGAGGGAUGGAGGCCUUCGGGUUGUAAACCUCUUUCGCUAAUGGUCAAGCCGCAACUGUGGGUUGUGGUGAGGGUAGUGGGUAAAGAAGCGCCGGCUAACUACGUG